CAGCUCUGUUAAAAGCAUAUCCUGCAAGACUGGCAUUACAGUCCCUCCUAAGACCAGCACUGAAGGCAGUGUGAUGGCGACUGACAUAGAGUUCGACAAGUUCACUCUUCAGCUGAGCCCCAGCCUCUUUAACGACACCCACGGCCCUGUAGUCAGUUAUGCCAUCCUUUUGACCUCAGAUCCUGGGUCAUUAAGUGGAGGGCCAACCCAAUACC